UUUUUACGUUAGUACAUCUUUAAUGUUAAAGCUACUUUUUAAUAAUAAAAUUUUAUGAAUCUAUCCAGUUUUAAUUAAUGACUAUAAGGUAAGAUUUUCGUAACUAUUUAUAACUCUUUAUAACAUUUUUUCUUGUUAAAGAACUGAUCAAUGUUCCAAAAAACCCUAUUAUUUUGACAUAUGGGCCCAGAUUCUGGCUCUGUUUCAGUGCCUUCUGUUUUAAUAUUUAAUUUAUGGAAGAACUAAAUAAUACCCUUUUCAUUUUGGUCAACACGCUCAGACACACAAUUCUUUACAAAGUUAAGUUUCAUAAAUGUCCCAUAACUUGCUUAAAUUUUAUUUUCUUUCAGCUAAAAAUAAUACUUAAAAUUUCUAAGUUUAGACAAAACUCUUUGUUGUUGUUGUUUUUUUAAGACAGAGUCUUGCUCUGUCGCCAGGCUGGACUGCAGUGGUGCGAUUCGGCUCACUGCAACCUCUGCCUCCCAGGUUCAAGUGAUUUCCCUGCCUCAGCCUCCCGAGUAGCUGGGAUUACAGGCGUGUGUUACCAGCCUGGCUAAUUUUUUGUGUUUUUAGUAGAGACAGGGUUUCACCAUUUUAGCCAGGAUAGUCUCGAUCUCCUGACCUCAUGAUCCACCCACCUUGGCCUCCCAAGGUGCUGGGAUUACAGGCGUGAGCCACUGCGCCCGGCCUUCCCACGCCUUUUUUAAAAAAUCAAAAACAGGUAAUAUUUCUUUUUAGUAUAAGCAGUUUUAAUUACGUACCAGGUGCAGAGUCUAGGAUACAAGACAGAACUGCAGAUAAAGUCAACUCUUUCUAGCAUAGCUAGGAGGCAUGGCUAACUCCACCUGUCCCAGGGCCUUACAUAGAAAUCUAACAGCUCCAAACCACAUAAUCUGAACAAUUUUCUAAAGUCAAAGAAGUGGUCUAUGACAUUAAAGCACUUAGCAAAUUUAACCUCUGACUUAAUUUACA
rnacentral:lncRNA from 1 species